rnacentral:rRNA from 1 species
GACGAACGCUGGCGGCGUGCUUAACACAUGCAAGUCGAACGAUGAAGUUCCUUCGGGAAUGGAUUAGUGGCGAACGGGUGAGGAACACGUGAGAAACCUGCCUUUCAUUUUGGGAUAACUCCGGGAAACCGGGGCUAACACCGAAUACUCGGUCUCGGCGGCAUCGCUGAGCCGGGAAAAAAUUUUGAUGAAAGAUGGUCUCGCGGCCUAUCAGCUAGUUGGUGAGGUAAUGGCUCACCAAGGCAACGACGGGUAGCCGGCCUGAGAGGGCGACCGGCCACACUGGGACUGAGACACGGCCCAGACUCCUACGGGAGGCAGCAGUGGGGAAUAUUGGGCAAUGGGCGCAAGCCUGACCCAGCGACGCCGCGUGAGGGAUGAAGGCCUUCGGGUUGUAAACCUCUUUCAGUAGGGAAGAAGCGAAAGUGACGGUACCUAAAGAAGAAGCACCGGCUAACUAUGUGCCAGCCGCCGCGGUAA